ACCCAGACUCCUACGGGAGGCAGCAGUGAGGAAUAUUGGUCAAUGGUCGGGAGACUGAACCAGCCAAGCCGCGUGAGGGAGGAAGGUACAGAGUAUCGUAAACCUCUUUUGUCAGGGAACAAAGGCGGGGACGUGUCCCCGGAUGAGUGUACCUGAAGAAAAAGCAUCGGCUAACUCCGUGCCAGCAGCCGCGGUAAUACGGAGGAUGCGAGCGUUAUCCGGAUUUAUUGGGUUUAAAGGGUGCGCAGGCGGCCUGUUAAGUCGGGGGUAAAAGCCGGGGGCCCAACCCCGGCGAGCCGUUGAAACUGGCGGGCUGGAGUUGGAGAGAAGUAUGCGGAAUGCGCGGUGUAGCGGUGAAAUGCAUAGAUAUCACGCAGAACUCCGAUUGCGAAGGCGGCGCACCGGCGCCCUACUGACGCUCAGGCACGAAAGCGUGGGUAUCGAACAGGAUUAGAUACCCCCGUA
rnacentral:rRNA from 1 species